GAGAGCAAACAGGAUGCUGUAAGUGUUUGUCAAAUGGACAGAAAAAACACGUUGGCUGGCGAGUAUGUGUGGAAAUAUGGGAGAAGAUCCCUUUCAGUUGGGAUUUCUCAACCCUUUCACGUCCAUUUAAGAUGCUGCGUGAAUGGAAACCUGCUGCAGGAUGAGAUUUUCUGACUAUCAAUUGAAACUUGCCAAAGGGUUGAAGUUGAUGACUUGCUGAGGGGUCAGAAAAAUGUGCCGAAAAUAUGCCUUCGUCUCAGUUUUCCGCUCGAUUUUGCCGAAUGAGGACUCCAAGUUGGCAGUUUUGUUUGCAAAGUGUGACUUUUCGAGGAGUUUUUGCGGAACUGCAGAGUCUGGAAGACGCUCAACGGAGGCCCAUGUAAAUACUGGUGCGGAUCAAUAUGGCAGAGGAGACGCUUCAGAUACGCUUUGUUAAUAAAUAGAUGCUUUCCGCUGUUGUAUUUUA